AUCCGCCUUGUGUGCAAUGUCAGUCGAUCUUCUUCAUGGAGAUCGGCCAGACAUCAACCUUAUCUUUUAACUCUUUGUCUGAAAAAUAUUAUGAAUAAACAAUUCAAAAUAUAACUUUCAACAACGGAUCUCUUGGCUCUCGCAUCGAUGAAGAACGCAGCGAAAUGCGAUACGUAAUGUGAAUUGCAGAAUUCAGUGAAUCAUCGAAUCUUUGAACGCAUAUUGCGCUCUUUGGUAUUCCGAAGAGCAUGCUUGUUUAAGUAUCAGUAAACACCUCAACCUCUCUUUUUUGAUAAAAAAAAGGGAGGGUGGACUUGAGCUAUCCCAACGACCUUCACCGGUAGGCGGGCGGCUUGAAAUGCAGGUGCAGCUGGACUUUUAUCUGAGCUAAAAGCAUAUCUAUUUAGUCCUCGUCAAACAGGAUUAUUACUUUUGCUGCAGCUAACAUAAAGGAUAAUUGUCCUCUUUGCUGACUGAUGCAGGAUUUUACGACACUUUAUGUGUUGUUCAACUCGAUCUCAAAUCAAGUAAGACUACCCGCUGAACUUAAGCAUAUCAA
rnacentral:rRNA from 1 species